AACGCAUUUUGCACUCUCUGGUAUUCCGGGGAGUACGCUUGUUUGAGUACCGUUUCAUCCCUCACAACCCAAAUCUGAUUUACGUCAGAGGCGGCGCGUGGAUUUGAUUGUUCCCUUCUCGAAAGAGUUGGGUCAAUUGAAAUUUAGUGAUCGGAACUUGCGUGUUGGCUGGGGUUACUCUUGCUCAGUACGUGUUUUUCUGAAAAGAAUGUGGAUUAAUGGUAGCAAUACCUUUUCAGCAUUCUUGUCAUGGAGAAGCAUUGGAAAAGCAGUUGUUUCAUUCCAAACUCAGUUGACUACUAUCCUUGAGAUGGAGCGCUUGUAUACGGCUCGAAACUGAACAUGCCAGGCAGUCUUUUUGGCUGAAUACCUGAACUUUGGUCUCAAAUCAAGCGAGAAAACCCGCUGAACUUAA
rnacentral:misc_RNA from 1 species